CUUAUUUAUUGAAAUAAAUAGUAGAAAAUAGUUAAACAUGUGUAUUUUGUUGAGGAGUAUGAAAAAUCCUAAACAUUGUGCGGAUUUAUCAUUAUAUAGGGAUACAUCAGAUAUGACAGUGAAAGAUGAUUCAACGUCGUCGAAGAUCACAGGGAGACGACCAGGUAGACCCUCAUCAAAUAUCAGCCCCAGACAGAGACAGGAGCGCAGCAGACAAAGUGCACGAGAAUGUAGAAGUAGAAAAAACGUUAGAUAUCAAUAUUUAGAACAAUUAGUAAACAUCAAGGAGAAAUCAGUCUAUAAACUAAGAAAAGAACUUGAAAUGCAUCGAAGAUGGUGUGAAGAAAUAGACAACGGAGUUAUCUCAGAAGAUUUGGUGAAAGGAUUGAGCAUAGAUCCACAAAAAACAUCACAACUGACAACAACUGAACAAUCUAACUUACCACUACCAAGAGAACGGUCAUUAAGUCUACCAACCACAUCAAAGUAUCAAACAUGUAACUUGGGUUUAACGUCUGCAAAAGGUAUCCCAAAAGCUACCUCUAACAAUGAUUCGAAAUUAUAUAAGCUUUUAACAGGACGAAUGACCUGCACACAAUCGUUUUCUCCAGAGGAUACUGCUAAUGAGUUUCAUUUAAAUAGGACUAACUCACUUUCCUCAGGAGACAAAAUGCGUCAUCCAUAUAAGAUUCAGUCACAUUCCAAAGAGGGCACAUCAAAUAUGCGUCAUCCAUAUACGACUCAGUCAAAAACUGCAGUGGAGUCAUAUAAUAUGUUUCAUCAAAAUAGCGAACUACCUAUAAUAGAAGAUACAUCAAAUGUAUAUACUCAACAACAAAAUGGAUCGAUAUUCGAAAAAGUAUCCCCAACAACUGCACAAACUGAAAACCAACACACAGCUUCUUUUAGUUCUUUAACAAAAUUUGAAACAAAAUCUCAAGAACAAGUGCCUUACAUUGAUAACUAUAAAUUGGACCCAAGGACUGACUUUGAAAAUCUCUCAGUUUUAUCAAAAGGUGAUAACACCUAUCUUGCAAGUCGUAAUACGAAUCAAUCAUCAGACGAAUGCAAUAUUCCUAAAAUCCAAUCUGAUAUAAACUUAUUAAAUGAAAAGUCCAAUGCCGAUGACACGUCAUCUGAAAUGGAAUUUGUUGAUUGGAUAUUAAAGAACCAAUCCAAUUUAUCAAGUGACAGUGCCUUAAUUGAAUCUGCCCGUCAAUUGGAAGAUACAGCAAUCAUGGUAGAUAUAUUUUCGGAAGAUCAGCCAGACGUCGCAGAUAUAUCUCCUGCUCAAAUUGAUAUGCUGUAUUCUGAAGAUAACAAUAUUGAUACCACAAAUAACUUAAAUGUGACUUUAGCUGAAUCAUUUCAUGGAAAUAUAAAAAUAAUAGACAUCGAAGCUCCAAAAACUGUAGAAUCAUUGCUAGAUAAUGUUUUACCUUCUAAAACUUUACAUUAUAUGAGUACUUUACCAAACAUGUUAAACCAUCCGACAUAUUCAUCAAAUCCAUGGCAACGUUCGACAAGUGCAGAUUGUAGUUUAACUACAAGCAAUAGUAUCGAUACCUUAGUAUCAAAGUCACACCCUUUGGAUGGAGCUUUUAAUCACAUAGAUCUAUCAGCAGCGGUAUCCAAAUCAAACGCUCCAAGUAUGUUACACGGCGUUAACAUUCAACUUGAUCAGUCACGUACAAGUGAAAACUUCAAGGAAUCAAAAAGACAAAAUGAUGUUGGCAGCUGUCGAUACCAUCGGACUCACCAUCUUCAAAAUGAGUAUUAACCUAUAAUGGUUUAAUUUUUAAAUUGUUAUUUGGAUGGAGAGUUGUCUCAUUGGCACUCACACCACAUCUUCCUAUAUCUAUUAUAUAGCAGAGUUGUUUGAAAACAAAGUAUUAUACGUCAGUGCUAACAAACGAAAACAAAAUUUAUUUAUAAAUGACUAUUUCUUCAUUGAUAAUCUGUUUUGACACAGUAGAUGUGUACAAUAUAUUUAUAUAUUCAUGAAGCCUUCAAUGUAUUUUUUCAGAGAAAGGCAUUGAUUAUGUAAUAAUUGGUCAUAGGGAUUGUGUGAUGACGAGGAUUCGAAUUAUAUAGAAUGAAUCAUUUGCUUCAUUUAGUUCAAUCAAUAAAGAAAUUGAUGAGACAUGUGAUAUCCAAAGGAUGAUCAAAAGGUCAAAUAGGAUAGUAAGUCGACGAAAAAGAGAUACCAACAUGUCAUUAAAAACAAUGCAGGAUAUGAAAAGCCGAGUAAGACAAAUUAAUGUCACUGUAAGCAACAACAUUUUGCAAGGAGCUCACAACCGGAAAACCACAAUUCUUGGAAUAUCGUAUGAACUAGUAGAUAUAUUACUAGUUUCAUAACGCAAUUGAGUCUUGCAUGUUGCUCAACAGUCAUGUUCACAUUUUUAUUUAGGGUCCAGCUGAUACCCAACUCCUGGUGCAGGAUUAAUCACUACAUUGAAGACCCAUCGGUGGCAUUCUACUGUUUUCUGCUCUUUGGUAGGGUUGUUGUCUCUUAAAGAUAUUGACCAUUGCCAUUCUCAAUUUAGGUUUAUAUCAAAUGUGUACUAUUGUUUGUCUGUUUGUCUUUUCAUUUUUAGCCAUGGCGUUGUCAGUUUAUUUUCGAUUUAUGAGUUUGACUGUCCCUUUGGUAUCUUUCGUCCCUCUUUUACAUGUAUUAGGAAACUAAGAUCAUUGUUAAUGGUUUAGCAUCCGUUUGUUAAGUGCUUCUAGAAUGUUGUUUUAAAAUUGCUAAAAAAAAAUCAACGAUUGAUAUGUUCUGCAUGGAAUUGCAAGCAAACACAACUUAGCUAAGGGUUUCUUCCAGCAACAUUUUCAUGAAUUCAUUAAAAUGUUUUGGCAUACAACUUGAUUGAAAACCUUAAUGAAUAAAGACAACAGUAGUAUAGUCAUAAAUCGAUUAAGCGUAAACAAAUCCAGGUUACAAACUAGAACCGAGGGAUACACUUCAGCUUUAAGAGAAAGCAAAUAAUCAACAGAAACACUGAAGUGCAACAAAGAGAAACGCCAACAUACAUAAAAUACGACUAUUUGAUAACGGCAACUAUAUUUCUGACUUGCUACAGUUCAUUUUAAGAACAAAAUGGUGAGGUGAACCAGAUUUUUAGAAACUUUUGAAAACACGGGUGAUUUUUUUUUUAAUGUCUAUUACUUUUUUAUGGAACAGUAUUGCUAAAUGAAUGUUAAUGCAAAAAUCAAACUGAAACAUCUCCAAAAGCAAUUAUUGAAGGUUUGUAUUCUAUAACAUAUCGAGUGUGUAUCUAUAUCAACAUAAACUAUGUGUCAAAUUUCAAACAUUGCUUUAAUAUCAAUGUUAGCUUCUUUUUUAGGUUUUUUUCUGUGCGCAAUGGUCUUCAAUUUCGUACUUUAUUUGGCCUAUUUAACUUUUUUGAUUCGAGCGUCACCGAUGAGUCUUUUGCAGAAGAAACGCACGUCUGGAGCAAAUACAAAAUUUCAAUACUGGUAUUCAUGACGAGUUUAUUUACAACCAGUGGGUUGAUAGCACUGAUGGCGGAGUUUGUAUUCCCCGGGGGUAUCACAAGCCCAGUAGUCAGCACUUCUGUGUGGACAUGAAUUAUCAAUGAUAUAUAAAUUAACUGAUUACAAAACUUUUAAAAUUUCUAAAAUAAUAAGGCGUUUCUUCCGCAGGAAUAGAUUACCUUUAUUAGCAGUAUAUUGCAAAAUUUUCAGAAUCUUUGGUCCUCAAUGCUCUCCAACUUCGUACUUUAUUUUGUCUUUUUAACUUUUUUGAUUCAAGUGUCACUGAUGGAUAUUUUGUAGACAUGACGCCCGUCUGGUGCAAAUACAAAGUUUCAUUCCUGGUAUCUAUGAUGAUAAAAUUGAAAAUUAAAAUUGGGAAUGAGUCAAAGAGACAACAACCCGACAAUAGACUAGAAAAGCAGAAAUGAGUUUUUUUGGUAUCAUUAUUCUUUACAGUAUCUGAAUCACGCAGCGACCAAGAAAAGACAGAUGUAUGUGUUCGUUUCUUUACCUCAGUUAUUUAGGAUGAUAAUACACUUGAGAGAGGAAAAUCAUUUCUUUUUUCUAGACCAAAAGUGUAUUGCUUUUUUAUAAUUCAAGAUGACAAAAGACAACCUUAAGACAUAUUUGAGAUAAUCGAUAUAGUUUUUAUUUAUAUUGGAAUAUUUUCAAGUGUUUAUGAAGUAUGAACUGGAAACACAGAGUGCUAAUGAAGAUUUAUAAGAAAAAUAGCUACUAAACA